rnacentral:lncRNA from 1 species
UAACUUCCAAAUACAAUCCGAUUUAACAUGAUUAUUACAACUUGAUUCUUUUCAUUCUUUACAUCCCUAAGUAAGGCCGACUCAGGGUACCGCUAUCUCUGGUCUCGGUGGUAGGGCGCUAACUAUGGAGCUACGCCCUCGCCUCGCGCCGCCGCGCCGCUCACGUGUGAACCUGUAACACCCCAAAACCACGUGGGGUGAGAACCAACUCCAUGGUUCCCAGUGGGUACGGCCACCCAAGGGAAAAGCUCGACCAAUAGGUCCAAGGGAGGCAACUGCAAGUUAGUUCAAUAAACAGAUAGAUAUAUAUCUUUAUUAUGCAACUAAUAAAACCAUGCCUUGCCUCACGAAUGCAAUAAUGCCAUGCUAUAUGCGAAUCAUGCAACUAUACAAGUAGAAUAAAUGAUUUAACUUUCUAUCAUGCUAUCCAUAGCUUUUUCAUAAUUUAUACAUCUUGUCACUUUACAUCGUUGGUUAUUUGCUUCUAAGGUUUUCCUCUACCCUAGCCAAGCUAACCACCCGACUCGGUCUCGAGUCAAUCAACUGCGGAAUACCGCACCAAUACCAGGCUCGAGGUAAUGGACGUCUCACAUACACCUCAGCCCCAAAUCCACUCGACAGGGAUACUCAAUCUAUAGCUCAUAACGCUUAAUGUACAUUCACUUGGCUUUUACCCAAUUGCAUCGAGGUUCACCCAGUUCCCCUCGAACUCACAACCCAAAAUCCCGUCAAAGCAGGGGGCCUCGAAUCACCCCUAGGGACCGUCUUUAGGGACCUCGCUCCCGUGGUGACAAUUCCGGAAUGCACCGCUUGAGGGGGAGCUACCGCCCUCAAGCCAAGACUCAAUGUGAGUAUGAUCCAAUUCCCAAUUUGGGAAUGUAUAGCCAUAAGCCACAAUGCCACAAAUGCCACAAUCAUGAUAGGUUUUCUACCUAUUUAUUCAUGCCGCUCUCUAGGUCAUUCUUGUCUCAAUGCCACUCUUGGUUAAACUAUGUUUAACAACUGUGUUCUCUAUGCCAAUCAAUGUCUCUAUUGUCCAUGUCACCUUUGUUCACUAAUGUCCAAGUCCAACUCUCACAUUCACACAAUAAUAGGGUCCUAACAUACAUGUCCAUUAUGGUUCUACCUUUCUCUAUGUUCAACUUCGUUAGAAACAUGUCAUUGAAAGCAACCAAGGUUCACAUGUACUUAGCCCUAUCAUGCAUGAAUGGUACAAAAUAUAUAUGCUCAAAUGCCACAAGUGUUUGCUAGGUUCAUGACACUAGGUUCACACUAUACUUGUUCAACCUAUGUUCAAGACACUAGGUUCAUAUCAUCCAUGUUUAACCUAUGUCCAUGACUCUAGGUUUAGUGCCACUCGAUCUAAUGUAUAUAGAUUGUCCAUAUGCACACUUCCAUUUCUUAACAUUAACCACAUGCUUGCAUUUAUUAUUUCUAUAUCAUGCUUAUCAUACCAUUACUUAGCAUUAUCCACAUGCAUGCUCUACAACAUGUCAUUAUGCAUUCCUUUAAGCAUAUUCUUAUAAUGUUAACAUUCAUACGCCCUUUAUCUUAUGCAUUCAAAGCAUUAAUUAUAUACAUUUAUCUAGCAUUCUAUAAUAUGUUAACAUACUUCUUUUCACAUUCUUACAUUAUGUUAAUAUACAUUCCUUUAGCAUUUUACAUUAUAUGUCAACAUGCAUCAAUAUGAAAUCUCAUUUCUCUUAGACAUACAGGCGACCUAGUCGCUUCGGUAAGCACAACCCACCUCAUUUCGCAUUCCGAUUGCUUGUCGACAUUUGCAAUCGGCCUCCCGCGGCACCCAGCACCUGGUUUGACCCGAUCUCUCGCGCGACCACCCGAACGGCUUCCAAUCCAUGAUCCGAAAAUUAAAGGUUUUCGGUUAUGUGCCACGAUGCUUCAAAUCCAUUUUCAUGAAUUUACGAUAUCGUCUAGGCCCUCCAGGCAGAAACAAAGUCUAAACGUCAAUUUCUUUAAUAACUUCGCAACGGCUUGACGAAUCGCCGAACCGACUUCGCCAACGCGUUCGUUUACCUAUCAAUUAGAUUUACAGAGGGUCAAAUGAGAUCAAACCCUUAUAUUUACAAAACUAGCAUUUUUGAGCCCUAGAUUAUAACUAGGUAAAAAUUCACCAUUAUAGCCUUAGUUUCAAACAUCAAACCUCUAAUUAGCAUGCUAGAAUACCUCUAAAUCCAUUCUUAGAGCUUAAAAAUCAAACUAGAGAGAAAUGCCAUUAAAGGGUUUGAAACUUACCUUCAAAGCUUGCUCUCUAAUGGCCAAUGAGGAAGAUGAAGAAGAUGACUUUCCUCCAAGCUUCCUUCUCCACCAAAACCUUCAAUUUUGGGAGAGAUCUAGAGAGAGAAAAAGAGUUUUCUCUCUUUCCCUUUCCUUGCGUGUGUGUGUGUGUGUCGUGUGCGUGUGUGGUGUGCGGCCAAAGGAGAAGAAGAAGCAACAGCUUCUUCAUAAUACCCCUCAAAUACUAUUCACUCCAGGCAGCUUGAAAUCUGAUAACUUUCGCCGGAGCUCCCUGAAUGUCCGUUUGAGCUCAAACUUGACAGUCAUCUUCGGUUUUACGUACUGAGCAAGAAUAUAUUUUAAGUUUUCAGUUUCGACCCCAUUUGGUCACCGAAAACUGUGCCGAACUGUAAUCUUUAUCAGAUAACUCUCGGAUUUUAUUUCUCACUCUACGGAUGUCAGAAAAAUAUGAAACUUUAAAUCUAGCCUCAUAAAAAUAUUUCUGACUUAUUCUCCAAUUUUCAUAAUUUUCUGUGACUGUAUAUUUUCUGCUAAUUUAUUUGUCCCGUUUCCAACAGAAAAUUCUAGAUCUUCUGUUUUCAUUCCGAUUUCAGUACAAGUCACUUCUGACUUAUGUUUUACUUUUAUAAAUCCAAUAAAAAUAGUUUCUCACACUAUUUUUAUUUACUUUUAUUUUUAUACCAAAAUCUGGUAUGUUACAUUCUCCACCCCUUAAAAGAAUUUCGUCCGCGAAAUUCAAACUACGCUUCGAUUCAGCUCCGCGAGCAAUUGAGGGUACCAACUCAUUCUCCCACUCCAAAGCGGCUUUACACAAUCAUGGUUCCAGAAGCGGCUCAUACUGAAGGAUGUGGGUUUAACCCUAAACGCAUUUGCAAGGUGUGAUACAACAGUGCAUCACGGGUCUUGCAAGUCAUAGUGGCAGCGUAAGUCGGUACUCGACGACUCUACGCGCUCCAACACCACUCGUCAUUCGGCACACAAAGAACUCUUCUUUGCACUUACCUUCCCUUCAGGGAAUACAUUCUGAUUCGAUCACCGACAUUGCUUAGGAGCAAUAUCACCGCUGCAUCGUUCCGUCGCGAGUGCUCUAAUUUCGCACUGACCCUUAACUUUAACGCGAGAUGGCCCACUUCGGCACAUCUUAAGUUUUAGUUCGUUUACGAGCAUAGUCUCCAACAUCACGUGGCCUUCUACUAGCUCAAGGUCUCACCAAGAGCACUUCAUCUUCUGAUACCAUAUGCUACGGUCAACAUCGAACUAUUUCCGCAACGAGCUAGCACGAGCGCUUCGUUCGUGAAUUCGAGUCAAACCCCUCGAUAAGGCUAUCCGCCAAAUUGCUCUCUUCGGUCUCCACAGGUGGACCAAAGGCCACCAAUCCUAUGUAGGCCUACCGCCUAAACCUGUCUCAACACGCAGCGUCUCUCGUUAGCAAAUGCAGACCCAAUCAUCAUCGGGCGAAAUUCUCACUUGGGAAUUCGCACACACUCCAACCAGGAGCAACUAAGAUCCCAAACCACGGCAAGCCCUCGGGUUGGGUCACAACCAUACUCGGUGUACCAUCGGUCACACAAUCUAUCACGUGGCAUUCCACGCUCCCGGGUCUAAGCUCGGACUACCGUCCUGACCAGAACUCUGCACUACCCGUAGGUACCGGGUCACUGUCACUCACAGCUGACUGCGUCUGCGCAAUGGGCCCAGGCUCCACAGUCCACAAAUGGUCUAGGCACGGGUCGUCCCCAAGCACUACCCGCCGUCGUCGUCCUACACAACAUGCUCUACCGAGUCACACGUAUCACUACCGGCUACUAUACACCUAAUGCGAGUCACCAAUCCCACGAGUGAUCCUGUAACAUACCGAACUUCUAAAAUCAUGAAGUCACGGUGUACAUUUAAAUAGUUCCGGUGAGGUUGCGGUGGAAUGUAACAUACGGGAUUUUAAAUACAAAAGUAAAAAUAAAUAAAAAUAGUAUGAGAUACUAUUUUAUUGGAUUUAGAGAAGUGAAAUAUAGGUUGGGAAUGACCUAUGCUGAAAUCAGAGAGAAAACAGAAAAUUUAGAAUUUUCUGUGAGAAACGGGGCAGAUAAAUUAGCAGAGAAUGCACAGUGUCAGAAAAUUAUGAAAAUUGGCGGAGAUGUCAGAAAUAUUUUUAUGAGGCUAGAUUUAAAGUUUCAUAUCAUUUUGACACCCGUAGAGAGAGAAAUAAAAUCCGAAAGCUAUCUGAUAAAGAUUGUAGUUCGGUUCAGUUUUUAGUGACUAAACGGGGUCGAAACUGAAAACUUAAGAUAUAUUCUUGCUCAGUACGUUAAACUGAGCCUGCCUGUCAAAUUUGAGCGAAAAUGGACAUCCGGAAGGGCUCCAACGAAAUUUAUCAGAUUUCAAGUUGCCCGUAGUGAAUAGUGUAUAGUUGAGGGGCAAAAUGGUAAAAAGGGUUUUAAACCCCUUUUCUUCUUCUUCCUCCCAGCCGUGCUCACCCACGACACACACCCACACACGUAUGGAAGGGAGAGAGAGAAACUCUCCUUUCUCUCUCUAAAUCUCUCCCAAAAUGGAUGGAUUUGGUGGAGAUUGAAGCUUGGAGGUGAAUCGCCUUCAUCUUCUUCAUCUUCUCCACCUUGAGGGCAAGCUUGAGAGGUAAGCUUUUGCUACCCUUUAAUGGUAGAUCCUUAAUGGUUGGUUUAAAUACCUUAGAAAUGGAUUUAGAGGAAUCCUAGCAUGCUAUCUAGAUGAAUGAUGCUUGAUUCAUGAAGGAAUUUGGUGGAUUUUUAUCUAGUUGUAAAUCUAGGGUUCAAAAUACUAUUUUGGUAAAUAUGAGGGUUUGAUCUCAUUUGACCCUUCGUAAACCUAAUUGAUAGGUAAACGAACGCGUUGGCGAAGACGGUUCGGCGAUUCGUCAAGCCGGUACGAAGUUAUUAAAGGAAUGGACGUUUAGGCUUUGUUUUCGCCUGGAGGGCCGAGGCGACAUCGUAAAAUCCUGGAAACGGAUUUGAAGCACCGUAAUAGCAAAACGAAGACCCUUUUUGCCCGAGGCUGCGAAGCGAUGCGCGGUUGGUGCGUAAUUGCAAGUUCCGACGGAACCGGGCACCGGAUGCUGGGGGAGGCCGAUUGUAAGUGUCGACAAGCAAUCGGAAUGCACUAACAGGUGGGUUGUGCUUACCGAAGCGACUAGGUCGCCUUUAUGUCUAAGCGAAUUAAGAAUCCUUGUUGAUGCAUAUAAAUGUAAAUGAUGCAUGUAGCUAAUGCUAAGUGAUGUAAUGUAGAAAUGCUAACUAGAAUGUAUAAUGAGCGAGUUAAAUAAUGCAUGUAAAUGUAAAUGUAAAUGCUAACUAGAAAUGCAUAAUGAGCAAGUUACAUAAUGCUAGAUAAUGUAUGUAAUAGUAUGAUGCAAAUGCUAAGUAGAUGCAUAUAAAUGAUAUGUGAGAUUAUAAACGCAUGAUUAGCAUUGUGAGAUUAUAAAUACAUGCUUAGCAUUGCGAGAUUAUAUAUGCAUAUGAACUUGGUUGAUAACUCUAGCUUGAUUAGAGAGAUAAUGUUGGAAAAUAGAAUUUGUAUAACUAUAAUACUCGCUAUGGACAAUUAGCAUGUGAACUAGACCGAGUGGUAUCUAACCUAGUGCUAAUAAACAUAGGUCGGACAUAGUGAUGUUGAACCUAGUGUUAGUGAACAUAGGUUGAACUAGUAAACCUAGAGUUUAUAACCUAGGUUGUGAUAUAGUAAACCUAGAGUGGCUUGAACCUAGGUUGUUGUGUAUAAUGGUAGCAACCACUAGAUUGUAUUAGGUCGACAGCAUAGGGUUGGUUAUGGACCCUCGACCUGUGUAAGUGGAUUCCGGAAUCCCAGGAUCUUUGAUGACCUUGGUAUCAAGGCUAGGGCGUGUGCGACGACUUCGCCGCCGAGGUCGAUACCAAGGAUGGAUUGGGGGUGAAUGCGCAGAGAUUACCGCCCGGGGCUUGAACCAUUGUCGUGGCGUGUGCAACGAUUUCGCCGCUCGAUGGUUAAGCCAGUUUGUGGAUUAUGCCGCCAGAUCGACUCGAGCCAUUGUUGGGUGAGGUGCGAUUCGUUCGCCGCCAGAUGGCCAAGUCAAGGGACUUGAACCAGUGUUCGGCGUGUGCGACGACUUCGGCGCCAGCUGGUUAAGUCACAUAGUGCAGCCAGUGCGCGGACUAUCAGCGGAUGAUUGACUCGAGGCCGAGUCGGGUGGUUAGCUUGAUUAGGUUAAUAGAAACCUUAUAAGCUAGUGAUAAAGGUAAGAGCUAAGGUAAUAGAGACCUUAGAGGCAAUGUGAACUUGAGUUGUGAACUAAGGUAGUAGAACCUUAGAUGCUAAAUGACAUGAGCUAAAGUUAGUAGAGUUGAGUGUAGAAUCAAUAGAUCUACUGAAUGGUUGCAUAAUUGCAUAGAACUGCCUGAUAUACAUAUUGCAUAUUGCGAGGCAUGUUAUCUGUUAGUUGCAUAAUAAACUGAUGAUUUAUAUAUCUAUAGAUGUUUUUGGACUAACAUGAUUGCAGUACCUCCUUGGACCUUUUGGUCGAGCUUUUUCCUUGGGUGGCCGUACCCACUGGGAACCAUGGAGUUGGUUCUCACCCCACGUUGUUUUGGGGUGUUACAGGUUCGUACGUGAGCGGCGCGGCGGCGCGAGGAAAGGGCAUAGCUCCGUAGAUAGCGCCCUACCCCAGAGACCAGAGCUAGCAGUACCCCGUCGACAUAGCUUAGGGGUUAAGGAAAUAAAAAGAACACAAUGGAACAUAAUGUAUCAAAUUUGUAAUAAGUAAAGGUUGUAAUAACUUAGUUUGCAUUUGGAUAAAAAGAAUAGUAAAUGUGAUGUAAAAUGUAUGCAAUGUGAAUGUUGUAAUAAUAUAGGAUGUGUUUAUGUUGUUUGAUACCUUCCAUUAUGCAAUCUUGAUUGAUAUCAGUUCUUGAUUGGAACCUUCGUAUUGUAUUGAUUGCGUUGCCUUGAACGUACAGGGGAGACUCUGUCUGCAGUACAGGGGAAACCCUGUCCGUUCGGCACUGGCGACGCCACGACCUCGGCCAAAUGGGCUGGUGGUCGCAGGUUGUGACAGAUCUAUGGCACGCUUCGCACCUAGCGAUGCUCAAGUGCUACUGCCAAUACACUCUCUCGGCUGAACCCACAUCCGUAUUCUACGGAUAUCUACACUCGAGCGCUCUACGCCUCUACAGCGUUUCACACGGAGUCCAGCAUUAGGCGAUCUUGCCUAUGCACACCGACUGCACGAGCACAACCGCCUACCUCACCUUGAGGUACUACUAGGCCCACGUGCUCAAACGUGGCCACUAAUCGACCGUUCUCUCAACAGUGAUGCUACUUUCACUGUUCGACCUACCGGAAUGACAUCCGAAAUUUUCGGACCACUCGGGUGUUCUCAUAAGCGUCAUGGCUCAACUCUCACAAUUUACUAUUCAUAAUUGCUCUGAGAGUCGUUUCGCCACUUCUAUCUCUACCGCGAGUCUCACUUCUCGCCAUAGAUUACUUCUAGCACUUCGCUAGUGCAAUCUGGCUCUAUACCUGUACUGGCAGGUACUACGCUCUCACAUAAUACAAAACUCUAUUUCUAGAGCAAUCAAAUCUAUCUCUAGAAAUCCACCAUGAGAGAGAGCUUAGAAGUUUACCUCUCCGAGAAGCUCCAACCGAAGAGAAGAUAAAGAAGAUGAGGAAGACCUCCUUCUCCUUCUCUUUCUUUCCUUUCUUUUCUUCUUCCUCUUCUUGUCUUCUAGAGAGAGAAAGAGAGAUAUGAGAGGGUGUGUGGGUGAGAAAUGAGAGAAAAGAGCUCUCAUACCCCUAACAUAGCCCCACAUGUUGCAUAAGUGCAAACAAGCCCCUCAACUUUUAUUCUUUUACACUGCCCUGACUGGGCCAUUUUCGGGUUCGGGGACCGGUCUCUCCGACGAGGGACCGGUCUCCAAGGGCUUCUCCCCGCGGUCAGCAGAGCUCACGCUCGACGCAACCGGUCUCCCCCGAUGGGACCGGUCUCUUGGGGACCGGUCUCUCCCCGCAGGGACCGGUUCCCGAGAGCUGUGCACCGGGAACUUAGCCGAUUUUCUCUCGUCUUGCUGCCUGUGCGUUCGGGGACUGGUCUCUCCCCACAGGAUCCGGUCUCCGAGAACAGAAAACCUGCAGUUUGCAAAUUUUCAUUUCCAAGGCUCUCGAAGAUCCCCAGUAAUGCACUUUUGCAUUAUUUGACGCCUUCGGCCUUUCCAAAGCGUACCAACCUCGCUCUUUGGUCAAUUUGACCAAGGUUUAAUACUUGGUUACCGAAAUUUCGGAAUAUUACAUACCCACUCGACAACUAGUCGAUCCCGGACGAAGUCCAACUCUCGGCUCUCGAGAAUUCACUUCGUUACAACCAUGCUAUACCUGUACACCCCUGGUGUUAAAUCGGUAACACAUGUUUCAGAAUUUCGAUUUUGCACCGUUUCGACUCCAAUUCGCGUCGAGCAAUACUAAAACUAUUCUAACUCUUUUAGAAAUUAAUUCUAACCCUUCCAACAUUGUUGGAAUGUUAAUUGGACUUUGUCAAACUACUUCUCUCGAUGCACUUUGGUCAAUUUGACCCAAAAGUGAUCUAACACGACGAGAAUUCCAUUAAUUUCUCAAAGAUCAUGAGAGACGCCAAAACUCGCGAAGUUCCCAAUCUCCGCUCGCCUCAAUUUGCCCAGGGACACCACUUGGCCCAUCCCGCGCCGAUCUAAACGAAGAUCGCCUACGCGGCUAGCGCUUCCUAAAAUGCGAUAACUCUAUUAAUCCUCGACCUUCUAAGUCGGACACGAGACACUUAAUACCGACUCAAAUCGGGCGAAAGUCACGCAAGGGCGUCUACUCUCAUCACUCGGCUUCAUGUUGUGUGCACCCAACAUGAACACCCUCUGUCGAGAAUAAACCUCACCCUGAGUCUACCUCUAACAUCCGUUUUAGAGGUUUAUGAUACAACCCAAUCAAUUAACCUUUCGCCAAAAGUCACAAGUCCUCGUCUCUCACGAGUCUUAAUCUCCUACGAUUUACUAUCCUAGGGUCUCCUAGGUCCAACUAAACUAUUUUUUAUUAUUCUUUUUAUGUUUCCUUUAUGCUCUGAUACCAUCUUAUCUGUCACGCCCCACGACCGCCCGCCUAUUUGGCCGGGUCGCGGCGCCGCAACAGACCGCCGAACGGACAGGGUUUUCUCUGUACCGCGGAUAGAGUCUCCCCUGUACAUUCAAAGCGUUGCAAUCAAUACAAUGUACAAAGUUCCAACCAGGAACACAUUUCAAUCAAAGAUUGCAUAAUGGAAGAUAUCAAACAACAUAACACAUUCUAUGUUAUUACAUGCAUUCACAUUCAUAUAUUUUUACAUCACAAUUCUCACAGUACAUUUACACUAGCUUUCACUUAACUUCCAAAUACAAUCCGAUUUAACAUGAUUAUUACAACUUGAUUCUUUUCAUUCUUUACAUCCCUAAGUAACCGACUCGGGGUACCGCUAUCUCUGGUCUCGGUGGUAGGGCGCUAACUAUGAGGCUACGCCCUCGCCUCGCGCCGCCGCGCAGCUCACGCGUGAACCUGUAACACCCCAAAACCACGUGGGGUGAGAACCAACUCCAUGGUUCCCAGUGGGUGCGGCCACCCAAGGGAAAAGCUCGACUAAUAGGUCCAAGGGAGGCAACUGCAAGUUAGUUCAAUAAACAGAUAAAUAUAUAUCUUUAUUAUGCAACUAAUAAAAUCAUGCCUUGCCUCACGAAUGUAAUAAUGCCAUGCUAUAUGCGAAUCAUGCAACUAUACAAGUAGAAUAAAGGAUUUUACUUUCUAUCAUGCUAUUCAUAACUUUUCCAUAAUUUUAUACAUCCUGUCACUUUACAAUCAUUGGUUACUUGCUCCUAAGGUUUUCCUCUACCCUAGCCAAACUAACCACCCGACUCGGUCUCGAGUCAAUCAACUGCGGAAUACCGCACCAAUACCAGGCUCGAGGUAAUGGACGUCUCACAUACACCUCAGUCCCAAAUCCACUCGACAGGGAUACUCAAUCUAUAGCUCAUAACGCUUAAUGUACAUUCACUUGGCUUUUACCCAAUUGCAUCGAGAUUCACCCAGUUCCCCUCGAACUCACAACCCAAAAUCCCGUCAAAGCAGGGGGCCUCGAACCACCCCUAGGGACCGUCCUUCGGGGCCACUAUCCCCGUGGUGACCUACUCCGGAGCGCACCGCUUGAGGGGGAGCUACCUCCCUCAAGCCAAGACUUAUCGUGAGUAUAGAUCUAAUCCUCAUCUUGAGGAUUCAUAGCCACUUGUCACAAUGCCAUUGUCAUGAUAGGUUUUCUACCUAUUUAUUCAUGCCGCUCUCUAGGCCAUUCUUGUCUCAAUGCCACUCUUGGUUAAACUAUGUUUAACAACUAUGUUCUCUAUGCCAAACAAUGUCUCUAUUGUCAAUGUCACAUUUGUUUACUAUAUCCAAGUCCAACUCUCACAUUCACACAAUUAUAGGGUCCUAAUAUACAUGUCCAUUAUGGUUCUACCAUUUUCUAUGUUCAACUACGUUAGAACAUGUCAUUGAAAGCAAUCAAGGUUCACAUGUACUUAGCCCUAUCAUGCAUGAAUGAUACGUAAUAUAUAUACUCAAAUGCCACAAAUGUUUGCUAGGUUCAUGACACUAGGUUUACACUAUGCUUGUUCAACAUAUGUUCAAUACACUAGGUUUAAUGCCACUUGAUGUCCAACCUAUGCUUUUUGACACUAGGUUCAUAUCAUCCAUGUUCAAUCUAUGUCCAUGACUCUAGGUUUAGUGCCACUCGAUCUAAUGUAUAUAGAUUGUCCAUAUGGACAUUUUCAUUCCUUAACAUUAACUACAUGCUUGCAUUUAUUAUUUCUAUAUCAUACUUAUCAUACCAUUACUUAGUAUUAUCCACAUGGAUGCUCUACAACAUAUCAUUAUGCAUUCCUUUAAGCAUAUUCUUAUAAUGUUAACAUUCAUACGCCCUUUAUCUUAUGCAUUCAAAGCAUUAAUCACAUGCAUUUAUCUAGCAUUCUAUAAUAUGUUAACAUACUUCUUUUCACAUUCUUACAUUAUGUCAAUAUGCAUUCCUUUAGCAUUUUACAUUAUAUGUCAACAUGCAUCAAUAUGAAAUCUCAUUUCUCUUAGACAUACAGGCGACCUAGUCGCUUCGGUAAGCACAACCCACCUCAUUUCGCAUUCCGACUGCUUGUCGACACUUGCAAUCGGCCUCCCGCAGUACCUGGCACCCGGUUUGACCCGAUCUAUCGCGCGACCACCCGAACGGCCUCCAAUCCACGAUCCGAAAAUUAAAGGUCUUCGGUUAUGUGUCACGAUACUUCAAAUCCAUUUUCAUGAAUUUACGAUAUUGCCUCGACCCUCCAGGCGGAAACGAAGCCUAAACGUCCAUUUCUUUAAUAACUUCGCAACGGCUCGACGAAUCGCCGAACCGACUUCGCCAACGCGUUCGUUUACCUAGCAAUUAGGUUUCCAGAGGGUCAAAUGAGAUCAAACCCUCAUAUUUACAAAACUAGCAUUUUUUAGCCCUAGAUUACAACUAGAUAAAAAUCCACCAUUAGAGCCUUGGUUUCAAGCAUCAAACCUCUAAUUAGCAUGCUAGAAUAUCUCUAAACCCAUUCUUAGAGUUUAAAAAUCAAACUAGAGAGAAAUGCCAUUGAAGGGUUUGAAGCUUACCUUCAAAGCUUGCUCUCUAAUGGCCAAUGAUGAAGAUGAAGAAGACUUUCCUCUAAGCUUCCUUCUCCACCAAAGCCUUCAAUUUUGGGAGAGAUCUAGAGAGAGAAAAGGAGUUUUCUCUCUUUCCCUUUCCUUGUGUGUGUGUGUCGUGUGCGUGUGUGGUGUGCAGCCGAAGGAGAAGAAGAAGCAACAGCUUCUUCAUAAUACCCCUCAAACACUAUUCACUCCAGGCAGCUUGAAAUCUGAUAACUUUCGUCGGAACUCUCUGAAUGUCCGUUUGAGCUCAAACUUGACAGUCAUAUUCGGUUUUAUGUAUUGAGCAAGAAUAUAUUUUAAGUUUUCAGUUUCGACCCCAUUUGGUCACAAAAAAUUGUGCCGAACUGUAAUCUUUAUCAGAUAACUCUCGGAUUUUAUUUCUCACUCUACGGGUGUCAGAAAAAUAUGAAACUUUAAAUCUAGCCUCAUAAAAAUAUUUCUGACUUAUUCUCCGAUUUUCAUAAUUUUCUGAGACUGUGUAUUUUCUGCUAAUCUAUCUGUUCCGUUUCCAACAGAAAAUUCUAGAUCUUCUAUUUUCAUUCCGACUUCAGCACAAGUCACUUCUGACUUAUAUUUUACUUCUAUAAAUCCAAUAAAAAUAGUUUCUCAUACUAUUUUUAUUUACUUUUAUUUUUAUACCAAAAUCUGGUAUGUUAUAAUUUUAAACUUGAAUUAAAUUUUUAGAAUUCACAAUUAAAGCUAAUA